CCUACGGGAGGCAGCAGUGAGGAAUCUUGCGCAAUGGGCGAAAGCCUGACGCAGCGACGCCGCGUGGGCGAUGAAGGCCUUCGGGUUGUAAAGCCCUUUUCUGGGGGACGAGGAAGGACGGUACCCCAGGAAUAAGUCACGGCUAACUACGUGCCAGCAGCCGCGGUAAAACGUAGGUGGCAAGCGUUAUCCGGAAUCACUGGGUGUAAAGGGUGCGCAGGCGGGCUCUUAAGUCAAAGGUGAAAUCUCUCGGCUUAACCGAGAAAUGGCCUUUGAUACUGAGAGCCUUGAGUACGGGAGAGGGAGAUGGAAUUCCAGGUGUAGCGGUGAAAUGCGUAGAUAUCUGGAGGAACACCGGAGGCGAAGGCGGUCUCCUGGCCCGUUACUGACGCUCAGGCACGAAAGCGUGGGGAGCAAACAGGAUUAGAUCCCGGGGUAGU
rnacentral:rRNA from 1 species